rnacentral:rRNA from 1 species
CCUACGGGGGGCAGCAGUGAGGAAUAUUGGUCAAUGGGCGCGAGCCUGAACCAGCCAAGUAGCGUGAAGGAUGAAUGCCCUACGGGUUGUAAACUUCUUUUAUAAAGGAAUAAAGUGAGGCACGUGUGCCUUUUUGUAUGUACUUUAUCAAUAAGGAUCGGCUAACUCCGUGCCAGCAGCCGCGGUAAUACGGAGGAGCCGAGCGUUAUCCGGAUUUAUUGGGUGUAAAGGGAGCGUAGAUGGGUUGUUAAGUCAGUUGUGAAAGUUUGCGGCUCAACCGUAAAAUUGCAAUUGAUACUGGCAGGCUUGAGUACAGUUGAGGUAGGCGGAAUUCGUGGUGUAGCGGUGAAAUGCUUAGAGAUCACGAAGAACUCCGAUUGCGAAGGCAGCUUACUAAACUGCCACUGACAUUGAUGUUCGAAAGUGUGGGUAUCAAACAGGAUUAGAUACCCGGGUAGUC